rnacentral:rRNA from 1 species
CCUACGGGAGGCAGCAGUGGGGAAUAUUGGACAAUGGGGGCAACCCUGAUCCAGCAAUGCCGCGUGUGUGAUGAAGGCCUUAGGGUUGUAAAGCACUUUCACUGGUGAAGAUGAUGACGGUAACCAGAGAAGAAGCCCCGGCUAACUUCGUGCCAGCAGCCGCGGUAAUACGAAGGGGGCGAGCGUUGUUCGGAAUUACUGGGCGUAAAGGGCGCGUAGGCGGUCUUUUAAGUUAGGCGUGAAAGCCCCGGGCUCAACCCGGGAACUGCGCUUAAGACUGGAAGACUAGAAAACGGAAGAGGGUAGUGGAAUUCCCAGUGUAGAGGUGAAAUUCGUAGAUAUUGGGAAGAACACCAGUGGCGAAAGCGGCUACCUGGUCCGAUUUUGACGCUGAGGCGCGAAAGCGUGGGGAGCAAACAGGAUUAGAUACCCUUGUAGUC